ACUACGACGAUGUGUAGUCGGCCGCCGCCGACACCGCCGUCGACGACGUAUGAUGUACCGAACGUAAACGUGUUUUUUUUCCUCUCUUCCUUGCUCAGUAUUUUUUUCUCUAUUUCAUUUAUUUUUUACUACAAAACUCACGCCAUUCAUUAUCGGCGUAUACUUUGAACGGGAAAACAUCGGACCAUUUCGGGCACGUCACACAAACCGUGGCCCGAUUGCUUGCGGCGUGGGGGUUCGAUCAGCACAAAUACAAUAAUAUGUCAGGAUUUUCAAACUACCUGCAGGCUGCAAUAGAAUGAGGCAAAAGACCUUGCGCCCGGAUUACAUUAACAGCAAUAUCGAGAAUCAGACAUCCCAUCAAACCUUGCGUUUUAGUAUUUUAUACCACUCAUAUACACUACUACUCUAUAGUAUGCAAUAGAGUAAAGGUAUUAUUAUAAUAAAUUUUAAUAAUACAUAUA